rnacentral:rRNA from 1 species
GAUGAACGCUGGCGGCGUGCCUAAUACAUGCAAGUCGAGCGAACAGACGAGGAGCUUGCUCCUCUGACGUUAGCGGCGGACGGGUGAGUAACACGUGGAUAACCUACCUAUAAGACUGGGAUAACUUCGGGAAACCGGAGCUAAUACCGGAUAAUAUAUUGAACCGCAUGGUUCAAUAGUGAAAGACGGUUUUGCUGUCACUUAUAGAUGGAUCCGCGCCGCAUUAGCUAGUUGGUAAGGUAACGGCUUACCAAGGCAACGAUGCGUAGCCUACCUGAGAGGGUGAUCGGCCACACUGGAACUGAGACACGGUCCAGACUCCUACGGGAGGCAGCAGUAGGGAAUCUUCCGCAAUGGGCGAAAGCCUGACGGAGCAACGCCGCGUGAGUGAUGAAGGUCUUCGGAUCGUAAAACUCUGUUAUUAGGGAAGAACAAAUGUGUAAGUAACUAUGCACGUCUUGACGGUACCUAAUCAGAAAGCCACGGCUAACUACGUG